UCCGAGUUGACCCCGGCAGUCUCCUGCGAGUCCCCGCCAUUACGCGCUGGCAACACAGGACAAGGGUUGCGCUCGUUGCGGGACUUAACCCAACAUCUCACGACACGAGCUGACGACAGCCAUGCACCACCUGUGACCGCGCCCCGAAGGGAAGACGUGUUUCCACGCCGGUCGCGGACAUGUCAAGCCCAGGUAAGGUUCUUCGCGUUGCGUCGAAUUAAACCACAUGCUCCGCUGCUUGUGCGGGCCCCCGUCAAUUUCUUUGAGUUUUAGCCUUGCGGCCGUACUCCCCAGGCGGGGCACUUAAUGCGUUAGCUGCGGCACGGGAGGAGUCGACACCUCCCACACCUAGUGCCCAUCGUUUACGGCGUGGACUAC
rnacentral:misc_RNA from 1 species